UCUUUAUUGUCGAUAUCUUCUGCCCGGUGUUUAUAUAAACGGCCGCAGUACCUUGACUGUGCUAAGGUAGCAUAAUCAAUUGGCUAUUAAUUGUAGUCUAGUAUGAAUGAAGUAAUGAAUAGUAGCUAUAAUAAAAAAUAUUAUUUUAAUUUAAUGAACUGGUGAAAAUACCAGUAUAUAGAAAAAAGACGAGAAGACCCUUAGAGUUUUURAAAUAAAGAUUGUUUAAGACUUUGAUAUAUUUACUUAAAGUAUUUAUACUACACACUUUUUUGUUGGGGCGACAAGAAAGCAUAAUAACCUUUCUAUUUAUAUUUAAAAAUUAUGUUAUUAGAUAUGACGAUAUUGUUAUGUAUAAAUAAACUACCUUAGGGAUAACAGCAUAAUGAUAAAAUUUAGUUUGUGACCUCGAUGUUGGACUAGGGACUUGUACACUAACCGUGUUAAAAGAAUGUUCUGUUC
rnacentral:rRNA from 1 species